rnacentral:rRNA from 1 species
CCUACGGGAGGCAGCAGUGGGGGAUAUUGGACAAUGGGGGAAACCCUGAUCCAGCGACGCCGCGUGAGUGAAGAAGUAUUUCGGUAUGUAAAGCUCUGUCAGCAGGGAAGAAAGAAAGGACGGUACCGGACCAAGAAGCCCCGGCUAACUACGUGCCAGCAGCCGCGGUAAGACGUAGGGGGCAAGCGUUCGCCGGAAUUACUGGGUGUAAAGGGAGCGUAGACGGUGAUGCAAGUCUGGAGGGAAAGGCGGGGGCCCAACCCCCGGACUGCUCUGGAAACUGUGUAACUUGAGUGCAGGCGAGGUAAGCGUCAUUCCUAUUGUAGCGGUGACCUGCGUAGAUCUU